CCAGUGGUGAACUCCACAUACGCAUCCUUUGCGGAAGAUGCGGUUAACGGAGCGAAAGCGACGUUCAACCUCAGAAGAAGCAGAGGGGGCUUAGUGGUGGGGUGACUGCGUACCUUUUGUAUAAUGGGUCAGCGACUUAUAUUCUGUAGCAAGGUUAACCGCAUAGGGGAGCCGAAGGGAAACCGAGUCUUAACCGGGCGUUAAGUUGCAGGGUAUAGACCCGAAACCCGGUGAUCUAGCCAUGGGCAGGUUGAAGGUUGGGUAACACUAACUGGAGGACCGAACCGACUAAUGUUGAAAAAUUAGCGGAUGACCUGUGGCUGGGGGUGAAAGGCCAAUCAAACCGGGAGAUAGCUGGUUCUCCCCGAAAGCUAUUUAGGUAGCGCCUCGUGAAUUCAUCUCCGGGGGUAGAGCACUGUUUCGGCUAGGGGGCCAUCCCGGCUUACCAACCCGAUGCAAACUGCGAAUACCGGAGAAUGUUAUCACGGGAGACACACGGCGGGUGCUAACGUCCGUCGUGAAGAGGGAAACAACCCAGACCGCCAGCUAAGGUCCCAAAGUCAUGGUUAAGUGGGAAACGAUGUGGGAAGGCCCAGACAGCCAGGAUGUUGGCUUAGAAGCAGCCAUCAUUUAAAGAAAGCGUAAUAGCUCACUGGUCGAGUCGGCCUGCGCGGAAGAUGUAACGGGGCUAAACCAUGCACCGAAGCUGCGGCAGCGACACUGUGUGUUGUUGGGUAGGGGAGCGUUCUGUAAGCCGUUGAAGGUGUGUCGUGAGGCAUGCUGGAGGUAUCAGAAGUGCGAAUGCUGACAUAAGUAACGAUAAAGCGGGUGAAAAGCCCGCUCGCCGGAAGACCAAGGGUUCCUGUCCAACGUUAAUCGGGGCAGGGUGAGUCGACCCCUAAGGCGAGGCCGAAAGGCGUAGUCGAUGGGAAACGGGUUAAUAUUCCCGUACUUGGUGUUACUGCGAAGGGGGGACGGAGAAGGCUAUGUUGGCCGGGCGACGGUAGUCCCGGUUUAAGCGUGUAGGUGUGUGUUCCAGGUAAAUCCGGUUCACUUUAACACUGAGGCGUGAUGACGAGGCACCACGGUGCUGAAGCAACAAAUGCCCUGCUUCCAGGAAAAGCCUCUAAGCAUCAGGUAACAUCAAAUCGUACCCCAAACCGACACAGGUGGUCAGGUAGAGAAUACCAAGGCGCUUGAGAGAACUCGGGUGAAGGAACUAGGCAAAAUGGUGCCGUAACUUCGGGAGAAGGCACGCUGACACGUAGGUGAAGUGAUUUACUCAUGGAGCUGAAGUCAGUCGAAGAUACCAGCUGGCUGCAACUGUUUAUUAAAAACACAGCACUGUGCAAACACGAAAGUGGACGUAUACGGUGUGACGCCUGCCCGGUGCCGGAAGGUUAAUUGAUGGGGUCAGCGCAAGCGAAGCUCCUGAUCGAAGCCCCGGUAAACGGCGGCCGUAACUAUAACGGUCCUAAGGUAGCGAAAUUCCUUGUCGGGUAAGUUCCGACCUGCACGAAUGGCGUAAUGAUGGCCAGGCUGUCUCCACCCGAGACUCAGUGAAAUUGAACUCGCUGUGAAGAUGCAGUGUACCCGCGGCAAGACGGAAAGACCCCGUGAACCUUUACUAUAGCUUGACACUGAACAUUGAGCCUUGAUGUGUAGGAUAGGUGGGAGGCUUUGAAGCGUGGACGCCAGUCUGCGUGGAGCCGACCUUGAAAUACCACCCUUUAAUGUUUGAUGUUCUAACGUGGACCCGUAAUCCGGGUUGCGGACAGUGUCUGGUGGGUAGUUUGACUGGGGCGGUCUCCUCCUAAAGAGUAACGGAGGAGCACGAAGGUUGGCUAAUCCUGGUCGGACAUCAGGAGGUUAGUGCAAUGGCAUAAGCCAGCUUGACUGCGAGCGUGACGGCGCGAGCAGGUGCGAAAGCAGGUCAUAGUGAUCCGGUGGUUCUGAAUGGAAGGGCCAUCGCUCAACGGAUAAAAGGUACUCCGGGGAUAACAGGCUGAUACCGCCCAAGAGUUCAUAUCGACGGCGGUGUUUGGCACCUCGAUGUCGGCUCAUCACAUCCUGGGGCUGAAGUAGGUCCCAAGGGUAUGGCUGUUCGCCAUUUAAAGUGGUACGCGAGCUGGGUUUAGAACGUCGUGAGACAGUUCGGUCCCUA
rnacentral:rRNA from 1 species